AUCGCUUCUUGGCCUUUUGGCUAAGAUCAAGUGUAGUAUUUGCUCUUAUCAGUUUAAUAAAUACACGCAGUGGAAUAUUAUUCAGCCCUA
rnacentral:snRNA from 1 species